GAUUAAUGAUGAAAAUAGCCAAAUCUGAGCAUCAGAAGACCUUCCAGUUUCAAUAGUUUUGAGA